GAAAGUAAAGAAGGGCGCAUGGCGGAUGCCUUGGCUCUCGGAGGCGAUGAAGGACGUGAUAAGCUGCGAUAAGCUUUGGGGAGGUGCAAAUGACCUUUGAUCCAGAGAUUUCCGAAUGGGACAACCCAAUAUCUUGAAGAGAUAUUAUCCAACGUUGUUGGAGGCUAACGCAGGGAACUGAAACAUCUUAGUACCUGCAGGAAAAGAAAAUAAACAAUGAUUCCCCCAGUAGUGGCGAGCGAACGGGGAACAGCCCAAACCAUCCAUGUUACGGCAUGGGUGGGGUUGUAGGACUACGCCGUUGCAUGAAGACAUCAGAGAAGAACUUUCUGGAAAGAAAGACCAUAGAGCAUGACAGUUGCGUAUUCGAAUGUUGUCGAAGCAUAGUAGUAUCCUGAGUAGCGCGGAGCACGAGGAAUUCUGCGUGAAUCUGCCGGGACCAUCCGGUAAGGCUAAAUACUCCCGAGAGACCGAUAGCGAACCAGUACCGUGAGGGAAAGGUGAAAAGCACUUCGAACAGAAGAGUGAAAUAGUUCCUGAAACCGUGCGCCUACAAGCGGUCGGAGCUCGUUAAUGAGUGACGGCGUGCCUUUUGCAUAAUGAACCUACGAGUUGCCUUUGCCGGCAAGGUUAAGUGUGACGACACACGUAUCCGAAGCGAAAGCGAGUCUGAACAGGGCGUAUAGUCGGCAGUGGCAGACGCGAAACCAAGUGAUCUACCCUUGGCCAGGUUGAAGGCUGGGUAACACCAGCUGGAGGACCGCACCAAUAAGCGUUGAAAAGCUUCUGGAUGAGCUGAGGGUAGGGGUGAAAGGCUAAUCAAACUUGGAGAUAGCUCGUACUCCCCGAAAUGCAUUUAGGUGCAGCCUUGCGGGUUACUGAUGUGAGGUAGAGCGACUGAUAAGAUGCGAGGGCUUCACCGCCUAUCAAGUCUUGACAAACUCCGAAUGCGCAUCAGUUCUACCGCAGGAGUGAGGGCAUGGGUGCUAAGGUCCGUGCCCGAGAGGAGAAGAAUCCGGACCACCUGCUAAGGUCCCGAAAUGACAGCUAAGUUAAACUAACGAAGUCUGACUGCUAAGACAGCUAGGAUGUUGGCUUGGAAGCAGCCAUUCAUUUAAAGAGUGCGUAACAGCUCACUAGUCGAGGAGUCGGGCGUGGAUAAUAAUCGGGUAUUAAGUUGUCUACCGAAGCAGUGGGAUCAUUAAUAUGAUCGGUAGGGGAGCAUUCCAGUCAGCGUCGAAGGCGUACCGUGAGGUAUUCUGGAGCGUCUGGAAAAGCAAAUGUAGGUAUAAGUAACGAUAAAGGGGGCGGGAAACCCCCUCGCCGAAAGACUAAGGUUUCCUGAUCAACGCUAAUCGGAUCAGGGUCAGUCGGGUCCUAAGGCUCAGCCGAACGGCGAUGCCGAUGGCAGAAACGGUUAAUAUUCCGUUACUACCUUCAGGAGUGACGUGGAGACGCAGUAGUGACAGUGCCGCCAUCUGACGGAAUAGAUGGUUGAAGGGUGUAGGAGUCGAUCAUGGCAGGCAAAUCCACCAUGAGAUCCGAACCUGACAGUAUGCCGCGUCCUUCGGGACAAGGCAAUAGUGCGCGUAAGCAUGCUGCCGAGAAAAUCCGCUAAACUUAAUCCUGCAGGUACCCGUACCGCAAACGGACACACGUAGUCGGGAUGAAUAUUCUAAGGCGCUUGAGUGAUUCACGGUUAAGGAACUAGGCAAACUGACCCUGUAACUUCGGGAUAAAGGGUCCCUACCCUUUUAUGGGAGGGCGCAGAGAAUCGGUCCAGGCAACUGUUUAACAAAAACACAGGGCUGUGCCAAAUCGAAAGAUCCAGUAUACAGCCUGACACCUGCCCGGUGCUGGAAGGUUAAGAGGAGAUGUCAUCGAUAAGAGAAGCGUUGAAUUGAAGCCCCAGUAAACGGCGGCCGUAACUAUAACGGUCCUAAGGUAGCGAAAUUCCUUGUCGGGU
rnacentral:rRNA from 1 species